GAUGAACGCUAGCUACAGGCUUAACACAUGCAAGUCGAGGGACCGGCGCACGGGUGAGUAACACGUAUCCAACCUGCCCUUUACUCGGGGAUAGCCUUUCGAAAGAAAGAUUAAUACCCGAUAUAAAGGAUGGGGAUGCGUUCCAUUAGGUUGUUGGUGAGGUAACGGCCCACCAAGCCUUCGAUGGAUAAGGGUUCUGAGAGGAAGGUCCCCCACAUUGGAACUGAGACACGGUCCAAACUCCUACGGGAGGCAGCAGUGAGGAAUAUUGGUCAAUGGGCGUUAGCCUGAACCAGCCAUGCCGCGUGUAUGAAGAAGGCUUCGGGUUGUAAAGUACUUUCAGCGGGGAGGCGUUACCCGCAGAAGAAGCACCGGCUAACUCCGUGCCAGCAGCCGCGGUAAUUC
rnacentral:rRNA from 1 species